UGGCGGACGGGUGAGUAAUGCAUCGGAACGUACCGUGUAGUGGGGGAUAACGUAGCGAAAGUUACGCUAAUACCGCAUACGCCCUGAGGGGGAAAGUGGGGGACCGCAAGGCCUCACGCUAUAUGAGCGGCCGAUGUCGGAUUAGCUUGUUGGUGGGGUAAAGGCCUACCAAGGCGACGAUCCGUAGCUGGUCUGAGAGGACGACCAACCACACUGGGACUGAGACACGGCCCAGACUCCUACGGGAGGCAGCAGUGGGGAAUUUUGGACAAUGGGCGCAAGCCUGAUCCAGCCAUGCCGCGUGAGUGAAGAAGGCCUUCGGGUUGUAAAGCUCUUUCAGACGGAAAGAAAUCUCUUGGGCGAAUACCCUGGGAGGAUGACGGUACCGUAAGAAGAAGCACCGGCUAACUACGUGCCAGCAGCCGCGGUAAU
rnacentral:rRNA from 1 species